UAGCUGUCGCCUUUAAACUUGCCCCA
rnacentral:piRNA from 1 species